rnacentral:rRNA from 1 species
CCCUUAGAUGUUCUGGGCAGCACGCGCGCUACAAUGGUCUUCGCAAACGGAUGCAUUCUCGAAGGAGAAUGCCAAUCUUGGAAUCUAUGCCUUGGUCGGGAUAGUUGAUUGAAAUUAUUCAACUCAAACGAGGAAUUCCUUGUAAUUGUAAUUCAUUAUAUUGUAAUGAAUACGUCCCUGCCCUUUGUACACACCGCCCGUCGCUCCUACCGAUUGAACGAUCCGGUGAAUUAUUUGGAGUAGCUCUGGAAGUUGCAGAACUUCCUAUGUCACGAAAUUUUGUAAACCUUAUCGUUUAGAGGAAGGAAAAGUCGUAACA